rnacentral:rRNA from 1 species
UUCGUAGCUUGAACAAUAAGUCUCUUGGGAAAUCUGCAGGCUUAACCUGCAGGCGUUUAAGAGAAACUGUAGUUCUAGGGACCGGAAGAGGUGAGAGGUACUCCGGGGGUAGGAGUGAAAUCCUGUAAUCCCUGGGGGACCACCGAUGGCGAAGGCAUCUCACCAGGACGGCUUCGACAGUGAGGAACGAAAGCUGGGGGAGCGAACAGGAUUAGAUACCCUGGUAGUCC